CGGUGAUGUGCUGCACGAUGGUCCAUCCUCCUUCCCGCAUGGCGCAGUACACCACGAUGGCGGAAUCCCCCGGCCGGAUCAGCUCCGGGAAAAGACUUCAGCUUUGGCUCCCGAUGCCAUAACUCCAGCAACUGCUGAUUAAAGACGGGGAAGUUUCUGCAACACGGAUGAACCGGACCGUGAACGCAAACGUGGUCAUUGGUGAAAUGGAGCCGAUCCCUGCCGGCUGCACCUUGGACUGGUCGCUGAGCGAUCACAGGGCAGCUCAUCCAUUUUUAGCCCAGUUAUAAUGCUGAUGAUUGUCCGGACAGUCAAGCAAAUUGUCAGUGGAAUGAGAAAUUGAAGUAAAACAAAACAAAAAGCAAAGUGAGGCUGGUGUGGUUUUUGUGGUGUGUGCCGCUCAUGAAAUGGGGACAGUAUAGAAUAAAAUGACGUUUAGUUGGACCCAAAUGUUGAAAACUCGCACGGUCAGCAUUGGCAGAAUUACGUCAGUAGAAUUUUUGGUUACAACAGACACGGGCUCUUUCGAAUUCCCGAACUGCUCCGCAACUACUGCAUGUCCACUGUCAGUCUUCGUUAGACUCAAUCUAGUGUACGUGGAAGAAAAGCGAAUGCGAUUCACAGAUCAUAGAUUUUAUCUUGAAACUUACGCGAGCUAUAAAAAGUGAUGCAUGCAGGUGUGGGGUGAUGCACACGUGCGAUAUAAAUAGAUAAAUGUCUUUCUGAACAUUUGCUGCUGGCUGUACAUCAGAGAGUCUCAGGAAAUUAUUUUCUACAAAAAUGUCAGUAAAUAAAAUAAAAUAAAUAACUGAAACUUACAGUCAAUCUCUGCAAUAUCACCUCAUCAUACAAUCACUCACUCUCUUCAUUUUUUUUUUUUUCCAUCGGGGAAAGCCCUCUUGUGCAGACAUGAGACAUCCGGGCCGACCCCUACUCAGAACUGUGGAAUCUCCACAUGUUCCCUCGAGACAACAUCGCUUGUGCAUAUUUCAGGAUUUACCGUUAAUGCUCAGACAUGACAGCAAGAAUUAUGACUGGAGCGGCGGAGGGACCCUUCAUUUCACCGGGCAUGGAAAGACAUGUGGCAUGAGGAAGGGGAGGCGAGGGUUCCCGGAACUGUUCAAGUCUGAUGACUUGCUACUUCUUUCCACCUUUUCUGAGAAAUUUCCUUUUUUUUUUUUUUUUUUUUUGGGCCAUCCCAUAAAGUGGGGUGGCUUCACCAAAUUUGUACAACAUUUAGGCCACAUUGGAAUGUCUCAACAUGUCAGAAUCUAUUUAAAGUCCUUAUGGAUUAUGUUUUGGGGACGUACACCACAUCUGGCUAACACGUGUAAAAUGACAAAAGGUCAUUGUCUUACACAUAUCUUAAUCAGCCACGAAGUGCGCUCUGUUGUAAUUUUUGAAUUCACAGACUUGGAGGGG